UACGUAGGGUGCGAGCGUUAAUCGGAAUUACUGGGCGUAAAGCGUGCGCAGGCGGUUUUGUAAGACAGCUGUGAAAUCCCCGGGCUUAACCUGGGAACUGCGGUUGUGACUGCAAGACUGGAGUGUGGCAGAGGGGGGUGGAAUUCCGCGUGUAGCAGUGAAAUGCGUAGAUAUGCGGAGGAACACCGAUGGCGAAGGCAGCCCCCUGGGUUAACACUGACGCUCAUGCACGAAAGCGUGGGGAGCAAACAGG
rnacentral:rRNA from 1 species